rnacentral:misc_RNA from 1 species
GAUGAAGAACGUAGUGAAAUGCGAUAAGUAAUGUGAAUUGCAGAAUUCAGUGAAUCAUCGAAUCUUUGAACGCACAUUGCGCCCGCCAGUAUUCUGGCGGGCAUGCCUGUUCGAGCGUCAUUUCAACCAUCAAGCCCCCGGCUUGUGUUGGGGACCUGCGGCUGCCGCAGGCCCUGAAAAGCAGUGGCGGGCUCGCUGUCACACCGAGCGUAGUAGAUUUCAUCUCGCUCAGGGCGUGCUGCGGGUUCCGGCCGUUAAACCACCUUCAUAACCCAAGGUUGACCUCGGAUCAGGUAGGAAGACCCGCUGAACUUAAGCAUAUCAUAAGCGGAGGA